ensembl:misc_RNA Metazoa_SRP Metazoan signal recognition particle RNA
GCUGGGCAUGGUGGCGUGUGCCUGUAGUCCCAUCUACUCAGGAAGCUGAGGCAGGAGAAUCACUUGAGUCCAGGAGUUCAGGGAUGCAGUGAGCUAUGAUCCCACCACUGUAUUCCAGAGCCUGGGCAACAGAGUAAGACCCUGUCUCUA